rnacentral:rRNA from 1 species
UACGUAGGGGGCAAGCGUUAUCCGGAUUUACUGGGUGUAAAGGGAGCGUAGGCGGGCUUUUAAGUCAGCGGUAAAAAUUCGGGGCUCAACCCCGUCCGGCCGUUGAAACUGGGGGCCUUGAGUGGGCGAGAAGAAGGCGGAAUGCGUGGUGUAGCGGUGAAAUGCAUAGAUAUCACGCAGAACCCCGAUUGCGAAGGCAGCUUACUAAGCCAUAACUGACACUGAAGCACGAAAGCGUGGGGAUCAAACAGG